AACGAAUUUAAUUAAUGAUUACAGAUUUAUUCAAUCUGAGGAAAGUCCGGGCUCCUUAAAGGUUAGAAUUGCUGGGUAAUUCCCAGUACGAGAUAUCGUGAGGAUAGUGCCACAGAAAAACACCGCUUAAAAAUAUUUUAAGUAAGGGUGCAAAGGCUUGGUUAAAGCAAACCAGUUAGAUUUCAAAAUCUAUACUUAGUAAACCCCGUUCAGGAGCAAAGUUUAGCGGAAAGUAAUUAACCUUUUUUCUUUCCUUAUAUUUAUUUUUUACUGCUAGAAAAAUUGAGUAAUUAAUUUUGAAGACAGAUAAUCAUUUUAUAAACAAAACCCGGCUUAAAAUUAAGUUCGUUUU
rnacentral:RNase_P_RNA from 1 species